rnacentral:tRNA from 1 species
GCCGAAGUGGCGGAACUGGUAGACGCACUAGCUUCAGGUGCUAGCGGUCGUAAGGCCAUAGGAGUUCAAAUCUCCUCUUCGGCA